CAUUUCAUUCGCAGUCGUGUUUGAAUACGAAUGAUACAAUAGUAGGCACAGGAGGAGACAAGUAAGCAAGGAAAAGGAAUGCUUACUUUACUCCGGUAUAUUAUCGCAACUCAGUAAACCGAUAUCAGUUUUUGCAGAUAUCUCGGAAACUAAGACGGAAUGAACGGCGGUAACAUGCAUGGGGAAAAGUUGUCCAAAAUGAUAACUUUCACAAUAUAUUUCAGGAUCAUCAAAAUCGGUGAGAUGCAGCUGAUUCCGAAUAAUUGACGAAUAAACUUAUCACGUAUUUAAUGAAAGGAAGUACGUUCAAUCGAAGGUUUGUGAUUUUUUAAUUUCGUGGGUUUUGUCUUAAGGCUAUGUUUUGGGAAUAACAGGUAAUGAUUUUAAAAACAACAUUGAUGGUUCUUUUCCCAUACUGUUCAACAAUAUUUCAGAGAAUUACUUUUACUCAUAUGUAAUUCCAAGUUUACAUAUUUAUAUCCCAUUAUAAGUAUUAUAGGAUAAUCGAAUUUUGAUUUGAAAUUGAUUAAUUAUUUUCGCAUGGGAAAGUAUACUUUAUCUCGAACUACUUUACAAACGUAGCUAAAAAUUUAAUAAUUGCACAAAAAAUAGCAAUCUGUUUCAGUUAUCUGUGCGAUUCUCUCUCUCUCUCUCUCUCUCUCUCUCUCUCUUCAAUAUGUUCACAGGUAACCAUUUUAUAAUACGAAAAUUUAGUUGAAAAUACCAUGUUGUAUCAAAGGAAUGUUGUGCCUUUAAAAUGCUGUUGUACGAGAAGAGAAGGUGAAGUUGUAGAAAAUCUACUUCCUCUCCGAUUUCGUUAGAUGUAUCGAUCAAUAUCAAUGUCCAGGAUGUAUGAAAAAUAAAUGUGACGAUUAUCACAGCGAGAUUGUACACUGUCUCUGGCUUGGUAGAGAUUCGUUACAAAAAGUUACAGCAAAUUAUGUAUUGACAUGCUGGUUGGCUUUUGAGGCCAUCGUGGCCAAAAUCGACACACACCGCAUUCGCCACAUUUGUUUGGCACCGCCAACCAAGAAUGGUAACCAAGAUGGCAUUACCGCCUGGCAAAUGCCGACGCAAUGGGGACGCAGCUUAACGGAGAUGUCAACUCCGUAUUAGUGUGUUAUACGAUUAUUAUCGUGUAUGACGCACAAAAGUAUUUUAAUUUUAAGUAAUUAACGUAUAUCGCACACAUACACUAAUAACAUACUAUAUAGUUACCACGUAGUUAUAUGUACUAUAAUACACAUAGUUACUACAUAGUUAUAUGUAGUAACACAUAGAAAACUUUUGUGUAUAUUAUAUGUGUUGGAUACAAUAUUUUGAAAUGUUAUUUUCGCUACAAUGAAACACGGUUUGGCAGAUUUAUAUUGGUAUUUAUGAUCAAUAUUCAAUAUUAAAUUUUAUAUAAAAGUUGCGUGAUAUUUACUGUAAAUGCAUAUAUGUAUUUAGUAGAGAAUUAAUAUACAGUGUGAAUAGCCA